UACGGAGGGUGCGAGCGUUAAUCGGAAUUACUGGGCGUAAAGCGUGCGCAGGCGGUUUGUUAAGCGAGACGUGAAAGCCCCGGGCUCAACCUGGGAACCGCAUUUCGAACUGGCAAACUAGAGUCUUGUAGAGGGGGGUAGAAUUCCAGGUGUAGCGGUGAAAUGCGUAGAGAUCUGGAGGAAUACCGGUGGCGAAGGCGGCCCCCUGGACAAAGACUGACGCUCAGGCACGAAAGCGUGGGGAGCAAACAGG
rnacentral:rRNA from 1 species